UCUGUUUCCUCCUUUACCUUGUUGCUGUAACAAUGGCAAGGGUGUCCACAGAUCCACUAGCUAUUGGGAGAGUCAUAGGAGAUGUUCUUGAGUCUUUCACUCCAAGCAUAAAAAUGACUGUAACAUUCAGUAAGAAGCAAGUCCACAAUGGCCAUGAACUCAUUCCUUCCACAGUUACCACAUGCCCCAGGGUUGAGAUUGGUGGAGAAGAUUUGAGAUCCUUCUUUACACUGAUUAUGACAGACCCUGAUGUCCCAGGACCUAGUGACCCUUAUCUGAGAGAACAUCUGCACUGGAUGGUGACAGACAUACCAGGCACAACAAAUGCCUCAUUUGGGAAAGUGUUGGUGAGCUAUGAAAUGCCAAAGCCUAACAUAGGGAUACACAGGUUUGUGUUUGUCCUGUUCCAGCAAAAACGUAGGCAGUGUGUUACUCCACCCUCUUCCAGGGACAACUUUAACACUCGAAAAUUCUCAUCUGAGAACGACCUCGGCCUCCCUG
rnacentral:sRNA from 1 species